rnacentral:rRNA from 1 species
GAAGGGGGCUAGCGUUGUUCGGAAUUACUGGGCGUAAAGCGCACGUAGGCGGUUUUCCAAGUUGGAGGUGAAAUCCCUGGGCUUAACCCAGGAACUGCCCCCAAGACUGGGAGACUCGAGUCCGAGAGAGGUGAGUGGAAUUUCCAGUGUAGAGGUGAAAUUCGUAGAUAUUGGAAAGAACACCAGAGGCGAAGGCGGCUCACUGGCUCGGUACUGACGCUGAGGUGCGACAGCGUGGGGAGCAAACAGGAUUAGAUACCCUGGUAGUCCACGCCGUAAACGAUGGGUGCUAGUUGUCAGGCAGCUUGCUGCUUGGUGACGCAGCUAACGCAUUAAGCACCCCGCCUGGGGAGUACGGUCGCAAGAUUC